GUGUCAGCCGCCGCGGUAAUACGUGGGGUGCAAGCGUUAUCCGGAUUUACUGGGCGUAAAGAGUUCGUAGGCGUUUUCUUAAGUUUUGUUUGAAAUACCCCGGCCUAACCGGGGGAACGGGCGAAAUACUAGGAGAAUCGAGUUGGUUAGGGGGAGUUGGAACUGUUGGUGUAGCAGUGAAAUGCGUUGAUAUCAACAGGAACACCGAGGGCGAAGGCAGGCUCCUGGGACCACACUGACGCUGAGGAACGAAAGCUAGGGGAGCGAAAGGGAUUAGAUACCCCCGUAGUCC
rnacentral:rRNA from 1 species